GAUGAACGCUGGCGGCGUGCCUAAUACAUGCAAGUCGAGCGAACGGACGAGAAGCUUGCUUUUCUGAUGUUAGCGGCGGACGGGUGAGUAACACGUGGAUAACCUACCUAUAAGACUGGGAUAACUUCGGGAAACCGGAGCUAAUACCGGAUAAUAUUUUGAACCGCAUGGUUCAAAAGUGAAAGACGGUCUUGCUGUCACUUAUAGAUGGAUCCGCGCUGCAUUAGCUAGUUGGUAAGGUAACGGCUUACCAAGGCAACGAUGCAUAGCCGACCUGAGAGGGUGAUAGGCCACACUGGAACUGAGACACGGUCCAGACUCCUACGGGAGGCAGCAGUAGGGAAUCUUCCGCAAUGGGCGAAAGCCUGACGGAGCAACGCCGCGUGAGUGAUGAAGGUCUUCGGAUCGUAAAACUCUGUUAUUAGGGAAGAACACAUGUGUAAGUAACUGUGCACAUCUUGACGGUACCUAAUCAGAAAGCCACGGCUAACUACGUG
rnacentral:rRNA from 1 species